UACGUAGGUGGCAAGCGUUGUCCGGAUUUACUGGGUGUAAAGGGCGUGCAGCCGGGGAGACAAGUCAGAUGUGAAAUCCACGGGCUCAACUCGUGAACUGCAUUUGAAACUGUUUCCCUUGAGUGUCGGAGAGGUAAUCGGAAUUCCUUGUGUAGCGGUGAAAUGCGUAGAUAUAAGGAAGAACACCAGUGGCGAAGGCGGAUUACUGGACGAUAACUGACGGUGAGGCGCGAAAGCGUGGGGAGCAAACAGG
rnacentral:rRNA from 1 species